UCUCAAGCAUAAUAAGGGCAUCUGGUGGAUGCCUUGGCGUCAAGAGGCGAUGAAAGACGUGGCACUCUGCGAUAAGCUACGGUGAGCCGAGAGCAGGCUUUGACCCGUAGAUUUCUGAAUGGGGAAACCCCACCCAAUAGGGUGAUCCUGUCGUGAAUACAUAGCGGCAGGAGGCGAACCCGGUGAACUGAAACAUCUCAGUAACCGGAGGAAAGGACAUCAACCGAGACUUCGCUAGUAGCGGCGAGCGAACGCGAACCAGGCCAGUGGCUUAUGCAUAAGAACCGGAACGAUCUGGAAAGGUCGGCCAUAGUGGGUGAUAGCCCCGUACGGGUAGAAAUUGCAUAAGUCCUCGAGUAGGGCGGGACACGUGAAAUCCUGUCUGAACAUGGGGGGACCACCCUCCAAGCCUAAGUACUCCUUGACGACCGAUAGUGUACCAGUACCGUGAGGGAAAGGUGAAAAGCACCCCGAUAAGGGGAGUGAAAUAGUUCCUGAAACCGGAUGCCUACAAGCAGUUGGAGCCUCUUUAUGGGGUGACAGCGUACCUCUUGCAUAAUGGGUCAGCGAGUUAGUCUUACAAGCAAGCUUAAGCCGAUAGGUGUAGGCGCAGCGAAAGCGAGUCUUAAUAGGGCGAUUGAGUUUGUGGGAUUAGACCCGAAACCAGGUGAUCUAGCCAUGAGCAGGUUGAAGGUGAUGUAACAGUCACUGGAGGACCGAACCCACGUCUGUUGAAAAAGACGGGGAUGACUUGUGGUUAGGGGUGAAAGGCCAAUCAAACCUGGAGAUAGCUGGUUCUCCGCGAAAUCUAUUUAGGUAGAGCGUCAGACGAAUACCAUCGGGGGUAGAGCACUGAAUGGGCUAGGGGGCCUUACCGGCUUACCAAACCUAAUCAAACUCCGAAUACCGAUGAGUACUAUCUGGCAGACAGACUACGGGUGCUAAGGUCCGUGGUCGAGAGGGAAACAGCCCAGACCGCCAGUUAAGGUCCCAAAGUUGUGGCUAAGUGGGAAAGGAUGUAGGACGGCCAAGACAACCAGGACGUUGGCUUAGAAGCAGCCAUCGUUUAAAGAAAGCGUAACAGCUCACUGGUCUAAAUAAGCUGUCCCGCGCCGAAGAUGUACCGGGGCUCAAGCCACACACCGAAACUGCGGACUUGUUCUUUGAACAAGUGGUAGCGGAGCGUUCCGUAAGCCUGUGAAGGUGUGCCGUAAGGCAUGCUGGAGGUAUCGGAAGCGAGAAUGCUGACAUGAGUAGCGAUAAAGGGAGUGAGAACCUCCCUCGCCGAAAGCCCAAGGGUUCCUGCGCAAGGCCAAUCCGCGCAGGGUGAGUCGGCCCCUAAGACGAGGCAGAAAUGCGUAGUCGAUGGGAAACAGGUUAAUAUUCCUGUACCCGUGAGAAGUGACGGCCUCUGGAAGUAGUUUUUCCUUAUUGGAUUGGAGAAGCUGCCAAGGAGGUCCAGGAAAUAACUCUCACAUAUGGACCGUACCCCAAACCGACACAGGUGGGCAGGUUGAAUAUACCAAGGCGCUUGAGAGAAUGGUGUUGAAGGAACUCGGCAAAUUGCCCCCGUAACUUCGGGAGAAGGGGGCCCACCGUGAAGGCAACUUUACGGUGGGGGCACAGACUAGGGGGUGGCGACUGUUUACUAAAAACACAGGGCUCUGCGAAGUCGCAAGACGACGUAUAGGGUCUGACGCCUGCCCGGUGCCGGAAGGUUAAGAGGAGAUGUGCAAGCAUUGAAUUGAAGCCCCGGUAAACGGCGGCCGUAACUAUAACGGUCCUAAGGUAGCGAAAUUCCUUGUCGGGUAAGUUCCGACCUGCACGAAUGGCGUAACGACUUCCCCACUGUCUCCAACACCAACUCAGCGAAAUUGAAUUCUCCGUGAAGAUGCGGAGUACCCGCGGUCAGACGGAAAGACCCCGUGCACCUUUACUACAGCUUUGCAGUGGUAUCAGGAUGUGAAUGUGCAGAAUAGGUGGGAGGCUUUGAAGCCAUGGCGCCAGCCAUGGUGGAGCCACCUUUGAGAUACCACCCUUUUGCUUCCUGAUAUCUAACCGAGGUCCGUUAUCCGGAUCCGGGACCCUGCAUGGCGGGUAGUUUGACUGGGGCGGUCGCCUCCCAAAGAGUAACGGAGGCGCGCGAUGGUAGGCUCAGGCUGGUCGGACAUCAGCUUAAGAGUGCAAUGGCAAAAGCCUGCCUGACUGCGAGACUGACAAGUCGAGCAGAGACGAAAGUCGGUCAUAGUGAUCCGGUGGUCCCGCGUGGAAGGGCCAUCGCUCAACGGAUAAAAGGUACGCCGGGAUAACAGGCUGAUACUCCCCAAGAGUCCACAUCGACGGGAGUGUUUGGCACCUCGAUGUCGGCUCAUCACAUCCUGGGGCUGGAGCAGGUCCCAAGGGUUUGGCUGUUCGCCAAUUAAAGUGGUACGUGAGCUGGGUUUAGAACGUCGUGAGACAGUUCGGUCCCUAUCUGCCGUGGGCGUAGGAUACUUGAGAAGAGCUGUCCCUAGUACGAGAGGACCGGGAUGGACGCACCUCUGGUGUACCGGUUGUUCCGCCAGGAGCAUCGCCGGGUAGCUAAGUGCGGAAGGGAUAACCGCUGAAAGCAUCUAAGCGGGAAGCCCCCUUCAAGACUAGGUAUCCCUAUCAGAUCCCUGGAAGACCACCAGGUUGAUAGGCUGGGUGUGGAAGCGUGGCAACACGUGAAGCUAACCAGUACUAAUUGAUCGAUCGGCUUGAUUGA
rnacentral:rRNA from 1 species